rnacentral:lncRNA from 1 species
GAGGGCAUCGGAUUCCCUCGUGCCAGAAAGUUGUGAAACCAUCAAACCCAGGUAGGUCCUCUGCAGGAGCAACACCUAGCCUAACAGCUGAGUCAUCUCUCCAGUCCCCGCCCUCCUCACCUUCUGUGGAUCUUGGUAAAGUUACCUUGACUUAAGUCAUCCACCGUAAAGUCUUUCCGCGGCUCUCCCUGAUCCUCCUUGCCCGCAUCAUGUGAGGAUUGGGACAUGGUCGCUGGUGCCUUUGGGGUAGCGUUAGCCUGUGGUCACAGUUAACGCUGACUUUCUGUUUCCGAAUUGAAGGCUGCCACCGUGGCUCCGUCAUGGCCAGAGCUGCUGAUUUGGGAAACUUCGCUUCAGUCACCAGGGUCAGGGGAACCGAGGACGGGAAGAGGGCCGAGUCCGGUUCGCACGGCGGCUGGCGGACAGGUGGCCGAGGAAAAGCUGUGGCGUGGCAUCUGGCGCGGCUUAGAGCCAGAAGACUAGAGAACCGCCCCGCCCCGCCCUCUGCUGGGUCGGAGCAUUGGAGCACCACACCCUAGAGAGACCUCAUCGCACAGGCUUGGCUGCAGGGUCACGGGCUCCUGGACCGCUUU